CUCAACUUCUGAGUCUGUCCAAUAGGCCGCUCCGUCUGCCUCUCCUGCGGCGACCACGUUGUUUCGGGUCGGCCUCUGGGGUAAUGUUGGUUAGUUGACGUCCCUUUUAUAUCCAUUAGUCCCGACUGUAUGUAAGAACACUUGAGAUUUUCUGGUCGAACAAUGUAAGAAAUAAUACAUAAAAAAAACAAAUUACUGCAUAGUUUCCUAAGGACCUGGAGUGAGGCGACCAUCUCUGUCGGCCACAUCAUGUUCUCUCGUGUAUCUACAGUACAUGGUACUCACCGGAGAUGGAGGUAUGUACAGUACAUGGUACUCACCGGAGAUGGAGGUAUAUACAGUACAUGGUACUCACCGGAGAUGGAGGUAUGUACAGUACAUGGUACUCACCGGAGAUGGAGGUAUAUACAGUACAUGGUACUCACCGGAGAUGGAGGUAUAUACA
ensembl:lncRNA